CCGUUAACAACUACAUCCCCACUUGGCUACGUCGAUCACCUCGUCUCUCUCCUUUACACGGGGUUCCGUUUACCUCCACUGAUUUAUCUCCGUCUUCUACACCGGAGCAGCUCUCCUAUCUGGAUAUGGACCAACCAAUUGCAGCACUCCCCGCUUCAGCACACACUCUGCCCCUUCUUCUGAAGCUUAUACUCUUCUCUGGCCACUAGAUAUCUUUGUCACGUCCCCUACCUGCGCCCCGCGACAAGCGCAAUCAGAAUCAGGGCUGUGGAUGCUGGGAAACGCGCCCCGGAGAUCUUCUCCAAGAGAAUCACGUCACUGAGGUCCUGUAUACUGUAACUACUGUAACUGGUAGUUUUUGUUAAACGAGAAAAAGAUUAAUAUGUGUAUUUAUGACCACUCUUCAACUGCUAAUGACAUUUCGAUAAGAGGUUUAGUAAAUGAGAUACUGGCUCUGCGAUUGCUGGCAAUGUUGAUAGACGAUGUACCAAUCUUAUCUCUAUGGCAUUUGUUACCGGAAACAUCUGUAUAUAUCUUUGUUUCUCCAUUCAAACGGAUUAUUAUGGACCACCGAUGCGCUUUAUCGCUCUAUCCUUUGGGAUGCUUUUCUUCUUUAAUUUUUUUAUUGCUUCCUUUCUACAACCAAUUUAAAUUAACAAAUAAGUACGUACUGUUGACGGCGGGGUAAUGAAGGAUUCAAAGAUAAAGUUAAUGAGUAUGGUGAUGAUAGAGGAGCUCGUGAUGCAUAAAAAUAUUAUUCAAGAUACAGCUUGGUAUGUCCAUAAUUGAUCAAAGCGCCGCGAAUAAAGUUACAUAUAUUUAAAGUACGUAUGUGUUGUAAGGCGCGCGAUCGCCUCACGCGUACUUUAAACCUUAUUGUUUCAAUUGGCUUCUCUCAAUCUCAUUUUUCCAGUUAAGUGCUAAUGAGCAAUUGCAAGUGAUUUAAUUUCAUUGAAAAGGUUUUUAAACUUGAGAAAAAAGCUUUACAAAUCAAUGUGACCAUUCGUCGUAGCACAGCGACGACGACGGAAAGGGGGAGA
rnacentral:lncRNA from 1 species